rnacentral:lncRNA from 10 species
GCAGCCCAGGAGGCAGCCCAGAAGGCAGACAUCGUUUUCUCAGUGAAGAGCCCACUGAGUGCCAGCUACCUGGUGAUGGUUUCACCUGGCGCCUUGGCAGAUGAGCCACCCAGCCUGGACCCCAUGCAGAGCUUCUCUCAAGAGGCAGUGGACGCAGACAGGAUCCUGUACCUGCACUCCUGCCCUGAGGCCUGGAGCGAUGCCUUCUUGCUGGUUGUGGCCUCAGCCUGGGUGCUCCCCUUGAGGACGUAUCAUAGAGCUGGAGGUGCUGCCCACUGUCAUCCCCACCGGGAGUGCAAAACUUCAGCGUCCCCGAGGGUGGCAGCCACACCUUGGUCCCUCCACUGCUCUGCGUCACCGGGCCCUACUUCUCCACCCUCCCGGGCCUUGGCCUGCAGGUUCUGGAGCCAUCCUGGCAUGGGGCCCUGCAGAAGGAAGAUGGGCCUCAUGCCAAGACCCUCAGCGCCUUCUGCUGGAGAGAGAACUUAUGAUCCCCGUUUUCCACCAAUGGAAGCUGAAGUCCUGAAAGUCAGUCUCCUCCUGCAUCCAAAGGCAGGGCAUGAAGGGUGCUGCUGGGUCCUGACUGCCAGCCCUGGGCCUGCCCCUCGGUGGAAGAGCAGCUGAUCUGCUAUGUGCACGAGGGGAGCGAGACACUGACAGACAGUUUUGUCCUGAUGGCUAAUGUCUCGGAGAUGGACCGCCAGAGCCAUCCUGUGGCCUUCACUGUCACCAUCCUGCCUGUCAAUGGCCAACCCCCCGACCUCACCACAAACUCAGGCCUGCAGGGUCCGUCCAGCCACUCAGCAGCCAGAGCCUCAGAGCCAGCUCCAGUGCAGGCACCAACCUCCAGCUUCUGCUCUUACUGUGUGGUGCGGGGCCCCCAGCUAGGUCGGCUCUUCCAUGCCCAGCAUGACAGCACAGGGGAGGACCUGGUGAACUUCACUCAGCCAGAGACCACGGAGUUCAUAUUGGAGCUGCUGGCCAGUCUGUACUCAUGUGGGGACCAGAACACCCUGGUGGAGCAGUUGGCAGAAGAGGCACAGCGGCGCGACGAGAUGCUGCGCAUGCACCACAUGCUGAAGGAGGUACUCACCAUCAUCAGGGACAUCAACACGACCACCGUCAGCCUGCCCCUAAGCCUGCAUGUGGACGACUCCUGGCUGCAGGUCGCCCAAGUCCAGCCCCGGGAUGCCCAGCCCCCGCCACGUCCCCAGCCCAGCCUGGGUUGCGGGCCCGGCUUCUGGGCUUCCUGCUGCUGGGUGCGCCCUUGGGGAAGUGCCACCCCGUAUCCUCCAGACCAGAGGCUUCCCCUGAUCCCUUCGGUCCUACUCGCCAGGUGCUCUCAUGCCCCACUCGGGAUCACCAACGGCCGCCCACACGUUGCAUCCCUCAUCCUUUCUUCUCGCCGUCCUCCAUUCUCCAUUCUGUGCAACUCCUCCCUGGGAAACCUAGCUCAGGUCUGAGAGUCUGAACCCCGAGAUGCUCUGGGUGUGUAGAUUUCCUUCUGCUACCCUGAUGUCCCCACAUCCAAGUCCUGACUCCUUUGAGCCAUCCCUGGGGGUAUCGGGCCACUUGACCACGGGAGCAGAGGCCAGGCUGUGACUGUGUGACCAACAAGAUGUGUGAUGUGAUGUGUGUACGGGUGAGCACACGAGUGUGAGAGUGUAAGAGUGGCACUCAGGCCUGAGCUAGGACAGAAGCAACUGGGGAAGGAGUCCAGGGGCCACAGGCAGUCUGAUUUUUUCUCCGCAUCUCCCCCCACCCCCUGACCCUGUCUAAACUAAUGGGGUAGUGGCAGCUGCAGGGGCAGGGAUGGGAGUGACUGAGUCCUACUUCACUCCCAAAGAUUUCUAAGGAAGAGCGUUCUACUGCAACCUUUGGCUUGGCCUUGUUGACCCAUGACCCUCUUUCAAGGACAUUCACUCUGAUUUCCAGUGUGCCCUGUUUCCACUGGCCAUGUUCUCUAAGGUAGAACAAUAGCAUCUGUUUUUGUGUCCAAAUGGCUGGAGAGUGGGGCUGUGGGUCCAGCGCCCAUAUACAAAAGCGAAGUAGGGAUUGGGGCUUGCCCUAUGACGUGCUGUUGACCAAGUUACAUGGAUAAAGGCAAGCAGCAGAGUACUGGGCAAGAACACUGGACUGGGAGUCCAGAGAUGCUUCACCCUGGGGCUUUAGGCAAGUCCCUUUCCCUCCCAGAGCCUCAGUAUCCUUUCUAUCAAAUGAUGAUGUUACCGCCUGGGAAAGGCUGUCACCAUCCCGCCCUGUCUCUCUCACCCCUCACCCCUCACCCCUCAUCCCUGCGCGCCCCGUGCACACCCAUUUCGGCUGGUGCAACGAGCCCAGAGCGUGUGCGCGCUUCCGGCUGCCCCCUCCUUGCCUUGACCCAGCACUGCUGGACCCAUGUGGUCCAUUCCUCACUCAUGGACUGGAGGCUCUGGGCAGCACAACCAGCAACUCCG